rnacentral:rRNA from 1 species
AUGCUGACGAGUGGCGAACGGGUGAGUAAUACAUCGGAACGUGCCCGAUCGUGGGGGAUAACGAGGCGAAAGCUUUGCUAAUACCGCAUACGAUCUACGGAUGAAAGCGGGGGAUCUUCGGACCUCGCGCGGACGGAGCGGCCGAUGGCAGAUUAGGUAGUUGGUGGGAUAAAAGCUUACCAAGCCGACGAUCUGUAGCUGGUCUGAGAGGAUGAUCAGCCACACUGGGACUGAGACACGGCCCAGACUCCUACGGGAGGCAGCAGUGGGGAAUUUUGGACAAUGGGCGAAAGCCUGAUCCAGCCAUGCCGCGUGCAGGAUGAAGGCCUUCGGGUUGUAAACUGCUUUUGUACGGAACGAAAAGCCUCUUUCUAAUAAAGAGGGGUCAUGACGGUACCGUAAGAAUAAGCACCGGCUAACUACGUGCCAGCAGCCGCGGUAAUACGUAGGGUGCAAGCGUUAAUCGGAAUUACUGGGCGUAAAGCGUGCGCAGGCGGUUUUGUAAGACAGAGGUGAAAUCCCCGGGCUCAACCUGGGAACUGCCUUUGUGACUGCAAGGCUGGAGUGCGGCAGAGGGGGAUGGAAUUCCGCGUGUAGCAGUGAAAUGCGUAGAUAUGCGGAGGAACACCGAUGGCGAA